rnacentral:rRNA from 1 species
AUGCCCUAGUAACGGCGAGUGAAGCGGCAACAGCUCAAAUUUGAAAUCUGGCCCUCGGGUCCGAGUUGUAAUUUGUAGAGGAUGAUUUUGGUUAGGUACCUUCCGAGUUCCUUGGAACAGGACGCCUUAGAGGGUGAGAGCCCCGUACGGUUGGAUGCCGAGCCUCUGUAAAUCUCCUUCGACGAGUCGAGUAGUUUGGGAAUGCUGCUCUAAAUGGGAGGUAAAUUUCUUCUAAAGCUAAAUACCGGCCAGAGACCGAUAGCGCACAAGUAGAGUGAUCGAAAGAUGAAAAGCACUUUGAAAAGAGGGUUAAAUAGUACGUGAAAUUGUUGAAAGGGAAGGGCUUGUGACCAGACCUUUGCCUUGCGGAUCAUCCGGUGUUCUCACCGGUGCACUCCGCUUGGUUGAGGCCAGCAUCAGUUUCGGCGGCGGGAUAAAGACUUCAGGAACGUGACUCCCCCGGGAGUGUUAUAGCCUGCUGUGUAAUACCGCCGCUGGGACUGAGGACCGCGCUUCGGCUAGGAUGCUGGCAUAAUGGUCAUCAGCCACCCGUCUUGAAACACGGACCAAGGAGUCGAACAUUUAUGCGAGUUUUUGGGUGUUAAACCCUCAAGCGUAAUGAAAGUGAACGGAGGUGAGAGCCCUUACGGGUGCAUCAUCGACCGAUCCUGAUGUCUUCGGAUGGAUUUGAGUAAGAGCAUAACUGUUCGGACCCGAAAGAUGGUGAACUAUGCGUGGAUAGGGUGAAGCCAGAGGAAACUCUGGUGGAGGCUCGCAGCGGUUCUGACGUGCAAAUCGAUCGUCAAAUCUGCGCAUGGGGCGAAAGACUAUCGACC